rnacentral:rRNA from 1 species
CUUGGGUCAUUUAGAGGAAGUAAAAGUCGUAACAAGGUUUCCGUAGGUGAACCUGCGGAAGGAUCAUUAUUGAAAACAGUUGAGGUGCUGGGGCUGUCGCUGACCCUACAAGUUGUGCACGCCACCGGUGCUUUCAUACAAUCCAUCUCACCCCUUUGUGCAUCACUGCGUAGGUCACCCUUUAGGCUUUGUUCUAGGGGGGAGGCUUGCGUUCUUUUUAACAUAAACAUCCUUUUUAAUGCAUGUGUAGAAUGUCUUACUUUUUGCGAUCACACGCAAUCAAUACAACUUUCAACAACGGAUCUCUUGGCUCUCGCAUCGAUGAAGAACGCAGCGAAAUGCGAUACGUAAUGUGAAUUGCAGAAUUCAGUGAAUCAUCGAAUCUUUGAACGCACCUUGCGCCCUUUGGUAUUCCGAGGGGCACACCCGUUUGAGUGUCGUGACAUCCUCAACCUUUUUGGUUUCUUGACCAGAAAGGCUUGGACUUGGAGGUUCUUUAUUGCUGGUCUCCUUUGAAGCCAGCUCCUCCUAAAUGGAUUAGUAGGGUCUGCUUUGCUGAUCCCUUGACGUGAUAAGAUGUUUCUACGUCUAGGGUUUUUGCACUGUUAUUUGGAUCCUGCUUCUAACAGUCUUUCAAAAGACAAUGUUUGAAAACUUGACCUCAAAUCGGGUGAGACUACCCGCUGAACUUAAGCAUAUCAAUAAGCGGAGGA